AUUGAACGCUGGCGGCAGGCCUAACACAUGCAAGUCGAGCGAGCGGCGGACGGGUGAGUAUUGUAUGGGGACUGCCCGAUAGAGGGGGAUAACUACUGGAAACGGUAGCUAAUACCGCAUACUAUCGGAUAACCCAUAUGGGAUUAGCUAGUUGGUGAGGUAAUGGCUCACCAAGGCGACGAUCCCUAGCUGAGCUGAGAGGAUGAUCAGCCAAACUGGGACUGAGAAACGGCCCAGACUCCUACGGAGGCAGCAGUGGGGAAUAGUGAACAAUGGGCGCAAGCCUGAUGCAGCCAUGCCGCGUGUAUGAAGAAGGCCCUAGGGUUGUAAAGUACUUUCAGUCGGGAGGCGUUACCGACAGAAGAAGCACCGGCUAACUCCGUGCCAGCAGCCGAGGUAAUUC
rnacentral:rRNA from 1 species